rnacentral:lncRNA from 1 species
UGUAGAUCGGCCAAAAGAGAUCUGCAAUCAUCAUUGCGCCAGACCCUGAGGCCUAUUUAAACCCGUCCCCCUCCUUUAGAGGUUUCACUUUGCCUGAGAUUUUUCUUUGAUCCCUUCUUCUUUUCGAGAGCUUCGUCUUCCUCCAGCGUGUCCCUCUCGGUCUUAGGCACUUUUCGGGUCGGCCCCCAUCACCCUCGCUGCCUUCCUGCAUCUCUCGGACC